GGGAAGUCCCGUAACGCCGGACGGCACCUAGCGCCGGACACUCGUACUAUUCAAGCGAGUAUAAAGCAGUUUAAUUCAAAAUACACGUGAAAGGGUCGCGGGGGGCACACAGGUACAGGAUCACGCGCCAGGUCUCGCCAGGGACGCACACGGCCGCGGCUGGAGUAACUGUUUGCUGUUUUAGGCGUGAAAUCACGGCGUCACCUAAAUAUGAAUAGUAUAGAAGAAAGAAGAUAAUUAAAAUGAAAGAGAAGAAAAAGAAAGGAUCCUGGGAGCCACAGAGCUUACAAACUGCUAUUGAUAACAAUUUGCGUAGUUUGCCUAGAAGACACUGACGAAGACUGGAUCCAGUGCUCAUCUUGUCGUGUGUGGGUACAUGAAGUUUGUAAAGACAUUCUAGAGUGUGGAGAUGGCUACAUAUGUGAUCGAUGCAGGUUAAUUUGAAAUGUCCGGUGUUAGGGGUAUGGCACAAAUAUACGUCCGGUACUAGGUGCCACUUUUUAAAAUUAUGAUUUUUGUUAUCAAAGUUUGAUUGAUGGUAUUAAUUAUUUUUUUGCAGAGGUUGCAUUUUUGUUAAUUUAAUUUGAUUUCUAACUUUGUUAUCUAAUAUAAGUCAUAAUUUAAUAAACAUUCCUAAAAUA